rnacentral:rRNA from 1 species
UACGUAGGGAGCAAGCGUUGUUCGGAAUUACUGGGCGUAAAGGGCUCGUAGGCGGCCAACUAAGUCAGACGUGAAAUCCCCAGGCUCAACCUGGGAACUGCGUCUGAUACUGGAUGGCUUGAAUCCGGGAGAGGGAUGCAGAAUUCCAGGUGUAGCGGUGAAAUGCGUAGAUAUCUGGAGGAAUACCGGUGGCGAAGGCGGCAUCCUGGACCGGCAUUGACGCUGAGGAGCGAAAGCUAGGGGAGCAAACGGG